GCGUGAUGUAGUCCAGGCGGCGGCAAACGCUCUUCUUGGCCUCGGCUGCCGCCUCCUUGGUGCUGCUCAUCUGCACGACCACCUGCGCCCGGUCGGGGGUCGCAGACACCUCCGCAGUGCCGCUUACAUGCACCUCGCGGGUGGCAGUCUGGGUCUGCGCUGAGGAGAGAGGGCGGCGGAGGCCGGGCAGCGUCUCUCCGCCCGAGAGCAGAUAGUUCUCCCGGCCCCGGUCAGCCCAGGGAACCAGUUCCACGAAUACCCGGGACUGAGGGGCUUGUUGCACCGACAUAGUGAGGGCAGCUGGGUUUCCAUAGCAACUCAGAGCCUACGGCGGCCGCACGGGCCCAAGCGCGUCAGGGCUUGCUCCUGCGCGGCGCAAAGAAUGCCGGGAUGAGCUUGGAGGUCCAGGAGCUCGUGGCGCGAGACUGGUGUGUCCAGGCCUGAAUUCUGGCAAUGGAUUGCUGGUUGGAAAGAAAAAGCACCACUUCCUGCUUGGCUCAUAAAAAUCCCCCAAGUGCGCUCUUCUCUUCUUUUCUCCAUCUGCUGGCUUACUGGGGAGGACUCCAGAGACCUAUGAGAAACAAGAACUUUAAGACAGAAGAAGCCUUGAACAGAGUCUGCUGCCACUCCUUUGCCACCCCAUCAGAUGUAAGCAAGAAAUAACAUUUAUUUUGGCUGCAGUUGACCUUGAUGGGGUACUGUUCAAUGGUGUGAAUUUCCCUUCCGUGAGGUUCCAUCUGUCAGACUGAACUCUGCCUGCUUGGAGACUGCCUCCCAGAUUCACCGCCAGCAUCAGCAUACAGGGUGGGAGAGCCACGAGACCCAGCCAAGUCAGCUGCACUAGCUCUACCAGGACCCUGAGGAAGAACUGGGAUUUCCAACCUGUGAACGCACACGGGCCUCUCACUGUUGUGGCCUCUCCCGCCACGGAGCACAGGCUACGGAUGCACAGGCCCAGAGGCCAUGGCUCACGGGCCCAGCCGCUCUGCGGCAUGUGGGAUCCUCCCAGACCAGGGCACAAACCCAUGUCCCCUGCAUUGGCAGGAGGACUCUCAACCACUGCGCCACCAGGGAAGCCCUCUUUUUAUAUAUUUUGAGAGGGAUUUUGUUUUGUUGUUUUGUUUUGUUUUGUUUUUGUUUUUUGGUCAACUUGAUCUAUCAGUUUCUGAGGGGAGUAUGUUAAAAUCCCCCAGUCUGCCUACUAAUUUUUCCACUGCUUAUUCUUUUUUUUGCUUUAUAAAUGUUAAGACUUUGUACACAGCUUAGGAUUGUUACAUCCUUACAUGAAUUUAUCCUUAUAUUAUCUCAUAUGAUUAAAUAAUUACCUCAAAAAUGCUUUGCGGGGGAUAGAGCUAGUUUGAGUAGAUAUUAAUAUUACUAAGCCAUAUCCUUGCUAUUAUUUUCGGUAUUAGUAGUAGUUGCAUUUUCUACUUAAUGUGCACAGAGGUAUACUGGUAAAUGUUUAAAAACUGGCUCUCUGAAACAAAAUCUCUAAUUUGUAACAUUUGCUUAUUUCCCUGGUGUAAAUAUUCUGUGUGGCAUAAUGCAAGCAAUCAACAUGAAAGAACUGAAGCUGAUGUGAAGACUUGUGCACAGCAGCUCUGGAGAGCUCUUGAGAGACUUUGUAACCUGGCUCUAGCACGUUACUGGCAAUACAUUUUCUUUGCUUCUUUUUUCUCCUUUCCUUCCUUGUAUUGGAUUGACCAGAUUUUCUUAAUUCUCUUAUUUUUCCUUUACUGGAAUGGAAGUUAUACCUUUUAUGUUAUUAACUCUGUGAUUACCCUUGAAUUUUUUGCCAUGCAGAUUGAUUUAAAAACUAACCAAUAUCUCUUAUCUUCUUGAAUAAUCUAAGGUAUCUUAGGUUGCUUUAGUUCUGAUCCCUUUUCCCUACUUUCAUGUCAUUCCUGUCUUGUAUUUUGGUUCAUGCUUUUUAAGCCUCUCCAAAUUAGUCAAAAUAUCAUUAUUUAAGAAUUUUAAGCUAUGUUUUCCAGUGCCUCCUUGAGUUGUCAUUAUCAUGUAUAUAGCAGCUGUUUUUAAACUGUGUUCUGUGGUUCCCAUCGAGAUCAUAAAGGUGUCCUAGGGGCUGCUGAUGUGGAUGUGAGAGAGGCCAGAUAGGCAGUAUUCAAAGUUUCCACCUCAGUUCUAAACAUCUGCCUCUUUUUGGCUGUUUUAUUCCUAAUACUCUUUUUUCAACUGAGAUAUAAGGAAAAUACAAUAAAAAUCAUAAAUGUUUGUAUAGAGUUUGAACAAACGUAUAUACAGCCAUGUAACCGCUACCCUGUAAAGGAUAAAACCAUCAUUCAGCACGUGAAACACACACACAUACACACACAGCUGAACUUUCUGCUUUCUUCAGGUGGGGGAACUAUGUUGGUCAGGCACUGUCUCUAAGCAGAGCAGAAUGCAGUCUUCCAUAGCGUGUUUGGGAAGCAUGACAUUCAAUAAUUAACGUCACUGCAGUUCAGACAUGUGAAUGAUUUACCAUUACUGUAGGUGGAUAAGACUUUCGGUGACUGGCUAGCACUCAGAAUCAUGUUCAGUGGAAUGAGCCUCUUCCUGAUGGGCUGCCUUUCAGAAGUGAAGGGCUUUUCUGUUUGGUUGCCUUGCCUAACGAUGUUUACUGGAGUGAGUUGUCAUUGGUUGAUUAAGUACAUUUAAAACUGGCUCUAGGGGUUAAUUUUUAUGAUGAUUAAAAGGCUGUCAUUUAUUUAUUGAGGAAGUUAAAAAUGAGUUCUGAUUGCUCUUUUUAGCAAGGCAACAGAAGAUCAGUUUUUUGGUUUGCUUUUUUCUACAAUGCAGGACAUUUUCUAUUCAUAGUUGUUUUUGGUUCUUUCACAGCCAACUGGAGUAAAUAAAGCCCAUCAUGAAUUGCUCAGCUCUUCCCCGGUGUAGUUGAUUCUCCUUGAAGAUGAGGUUUGUUUUCACAUCUCCUUUAAGAUGAAGUUUGUUUGUGCAGUUAUUAUUUCUCUACAAAGAACUUCACAACUUUGGGAUCUUUAUAAAUCUGAAGGCCAACAGAAGAUAUUCGGGAGUCAUCCACUUGGGGAAGCCUAACUAAUAGCCUUGCAGAACAAAAAGCUGUGGUUCUCUGUGAACACUGAAGAGCAUUGCUUUUCACACAAGAUGAAGAAUACAGGUGCUUCCUGAGAGAAGUGAACAACUUUUGUGAAUCUGUGUUUUGCAGAAGGACUUGACAUCAAAAAGAACAUCUAGAGAACAGCAACCCAGAGGGAUGUAUGCAAGUUCACCUGAGAUGCAAUCUGGACAAUGCAGGAGUUCAGUUUCACCUGAGAUGCAAUCUGGACCCACCCACGGGGAAGCAGAGGGAACACCAUCCUGUCCCACAGCCAGGGAAGAACACAGAUUGCUGCUGCAAUUACUACACGCUUUCCUAUCAGGUUUUUGCACAUUCCUGCUUUGGACAUUACUAAUAGAUGUUUCCCUGUCUGGAUUAUCUUCACUUCCUGCUGCCACCUUCAGUUUAGAACUUUCCUACAAAUCUCAGUUCAAAUCACAUUUCCUGCUUGAAGACUUCCUAGAUCCUGGAUGGGGAAACCAAAACUAGAGAUGCAAGCUGUUGCCCAUGAUCAUGCCACCUAUGGUAAAAUAAGAUCUGGGAAUUGGCUCUUCCAGCCCUGUGCUGCCGCUGAAUACAGCUGACACCUUAGGCAGCUUAAGGCUGUCUAGAGCUGCUGCGGGGGAGCCCUCAGGUCUACUCUAUGGCUACCUCUGAGUCUCUAUAUUGUAGGCUACAAUGAAUUAGAGUGCCAUUGGCUAUGAGGAGUAAAAAUAAUAGUGGAUUUUUGUGGGAAGUGUUUUUAUUGUUCAUCUCUUUUCUUGCUAUUCAACAAAAUCUAUUAAAAAAUGAAGUGUAAAACUCACAAG